CACGUAGGGGGCGAGCGUUGUCCGGAUUUAUUGGGCGUAAAGAGCUCGUAGGCGGCUCAGUAAGUCAGGUGUGAAAACUCCAGGCUCAACCUGGAGACGCACCUGAUACUGCUGUGGCUAGAGUCCGGUAGGGGAGCAUGGAAUUCCUGGUGUAGCGGUGAAAUGCGCAGAUAUCAGGGAGGAACACCAAUAGCGAAGGCAGCUCGCUAGGGACGGUAACUGACACUAAGGCGCGAAAGCGUGGGGAGCGAACAGG
rnacentral:rRNA from 1 species